GUGUACCUUGAUAUAUUGUGUACUGUGGGGCAGUGGGCCGUGAAAGGUAGCCUGGUGGUCCCCUUUGAGCUAAGGCUACCUUUGAUAGUCCACUGCCCCACGGUGCAUGCAUUGGUGUUUUUCGGUA
rnacentral:precursor_RNA from 7 species